GCCAGGUGCGGUGGCACGUGCCUACAGUCCCAGCUAUUUGGGAGGCUGAGGCUGGAGGAUCGCUUGAGCCCAGGAGUUCUGGGCUGUAGUGCACUAUGCAGAUCAGGUGUCCACACUAAGUUCGGCAUCAAUAUGUUGACCUCCCAGGAGUGGGGGACCACCAGGUUGCCUAAGGAGCGGUGAACCUGUCCAGGUCAGAAAUGGAGCAGGUCAAAACUCCUGUGCUGAUCAGUAGUGGGAUCGCGCCUGUGAAUAGCCACUGCACUCCAGCUGGGGCAACACAGUGAGACCCCGUCUCU
rnacentral:SRP_RNA from 1 species